AUCAGCUUCCCUGAUCUUGUCCCUCCUUGGUGAGAAAGGAUACGCUACUGCUGUCGUGUUGUCGGAAAGGACCUUCACAUGUAGGCCCUCGAGUAGAUCUUCUGCUGCUUUUAACAUUUCCCAAACCGCUUUCAGCUCUCCGAAGUUGGAGGAUUGAGA